rnacentral:rRNA from 1 species
GAUGAACGCUGGCGGCGUGCCUAAUACAUGCAAGUCGAGCGAACAGACGAGGAGCUUGCUCCUCUGACGUUAGCGGCGGACGGGUGAGAAACACGUGGAUCACCUACCUAUAAGACUGGGAUAACUUCGGGAAACCGGAUCUAAUCCCGGAUAAUAUAUUGAACCGCAUGGUUCAAUAGUGAAAGACGGUUUUGCUGUCACUUAUAGAUGGAUCCGCGCCGCAUUAGCUAGUUGGUAGGGUAAAGGCUUAUCAAGGCAACGAUGCGUAGCCGACCUGCGAGGGUGAUCGGCCACACUAGAGCUGAGACGCGGUCCAGACUCCUACGGGAGGCAGCAGUAGGGAAUCUUCCGCAAUGGGCGAGAGCCUGACGGAGCAACGCCGCGUGAGAGGUGAAGGUCUUCGGAGCGUAAAACUCUGUUAUUGGGGAAGAACAAAUGUGUAAUGAACUGUGCACGUCUUGACGGUACCUAGUCAGAAAGCCACGGCUAACUACGUG